UCUUACGGACUGAAAGUGGAGAAAACACUUGAGUCCUCUUCUAUGUACAUAUUGAGUUCACAAAGGAUAAUAGUCUCUACGUGGAAGUACAAAUAUAAGAACGGCGUAGAGGUUAUAUCCAUGCCCGUUUUGUUCAGAUGAUGGCAAAUUGGAGAUUUCUUCGAACUAAGGUCGAGGAGCAGAUACGAGUUGAGUUCCUGAGCCGUUAAGCUAAGACCAGGUCAUGGAGUUGUUGCCGGACCGACGGGUCACGGAGUUGCGUAUACCUGACCUACGGGUCAUGGAGUUGGUUAUACCUGGCCGAUGAGUCAUGGAGUUAUCUAUACCUGACCCUCGGGUCACGGAGUUAUAUCUAUAUAGAUAUGUUAUCUUGCCUCAGAUGAGAGCAAC